rnacentral:rRNA from 1 species
UACGGAGGGUGCGAGCGUUGUCCGGAAUCAUUGGGCGUAAAGGGCGCGUAGGUGGCCCGGUCAGUUCGUGGUGAAAGCGCGGGGCUCAACCCUGCGUCGGCCAUGAAUACUGCCGCGGCUGGAGCACUGUAGAGGCAGGCGGAAUUCCGGGUGUAGCGGUGGAAUGCGUAGAGAUCCGGAAGAACACCGGUGGCGAAGGCGGCCUGCUGGGCAGUUGCUGACACUGGAGGUGCGAA